AGUGGGGAAUAUUGGGCAAUGGGCGCAAGCCUGACCCAGCAACGCCGCGUGAAGGAUGAAGGUUUUCGGAUCGUAAACUUCUUUGAUCGGGGACGAAAUUGACGGUACCCGAGGAACAAGCCACGGCUAACUACGUGCCAGCAGCCGCGGUAAUACGUAGGUGGCAAGCGUUAUCCGGAAUUACUGGGCGUAAAGGGCGUGUAGGCGGGAAGACAAGUCGGGAGUGAAAUCCCAGGGCUUAACCCUGGAGCUGCUUCCGAAACUGUCUUUCUUGAGUGUCGGAGAGGAAAGUGGAAUUCCCAGUGUAGCGGUGAAAUGCGUAGAGAUUGGGAGGAACACCAGUGGCGAAGGCGACUUUCUGGACGAUAACUGACGCUGAGGCGCGAAAGCGUGGGGAGCAAACAGGAUUAGAUACCCUGGUAGUCCACGCGGUAAACGAUGGAUACUAGGUGUAAGGGGUAUCGACCCCCCUUGUGCCGCAGUUAACACAAUAAGUAUCCCG
rnacentral:rRNA from 1 species